rnacentral:rRNA from 1 species
GACGAACGCUGGCGGCGUGCUUAACACAUGCAAGUCGAACGAUGAAGAAGAGAAACGCGAACUUCGGUUCAAAUUUCACUUCGGAUUAGUGGCAGACGGGUGAGUAACGCGUGAGCAACCUACCUCUUACAAAGGGAUAGCCUCGGGAAACCGUGAUUAAUACCAUAUGACACAUUCAUAAGGCAUCUUAAGAAUGUUAAAGCUACGGCGGUAAGAGAUGGGCUCGCGUCCCAUUAGCUAGUUGGUGAGGUAACGGCCCACCAAGGCGACGAUGGGUAACCGGCCUGAGAGGGUGAGCGGUCACAUUGGAACUGAGACACGGUCCAAACUCCUACGGGAGGCAGCAGUGGGGAAUAUUGCACAAUGGAGGGAACUCUGAUGCAGCGACGCCGCGUGAGCGAUGAAGGAAUUCGUUUCGUAAAGCUCUGUUCUAUGGGAAGAAAAUGACUGUACCAUAGGAGAAAGCCCCGGCUAAAUACGUG